UCAGUGGCAUAUUGGUUAGAGCGUCUGCCUCGGAUGCAUGAGGUCAUGGGUUCUAUCCCCAGUCGUGUCAU